rnacentral:rRNA from 1 species
GAUGAACGCUGGCGGCGUGCCUAACACAUGCAAGUCGAACGGAGAUUACGGACGGAAGUUUUCGGAUGGAAGACUGUAAUUCUUAGUGGCGGACGGGUGAGUAACGCGUGGGCAACCUGCCCUAUACCGGGGGAUAGCAGCUGGAAACGGCUGGUAAGACCGCAUAAGUCGGCGAGACCGCAUGGUUUGCCGGGAAAUGAGCAAUCAGGUAUAGGAUGGGCCCGCGUCCGAUUAGCCAGUUGGCAGGGUAAAAGCCUACCAAAGCAACGAUCGGUAGCCGGACUGAGAGGUCGGACGGCCACAUUGGGACUGAGACACGGCCCAAACUCCUACGAGAGGCAGCAGUGGGGGAUAUUGCACAAUGGAGGAAACUCUGAUGCAGCGACGCCGCGUGAGUGAAGAAGUAUUUCGGUAUGUAAAGCUCUAUCAGCAGGGAAGAUGAUGAUGGUACCUGACUAAGAAGCCCCGGCUAACUACGUG